rnacentral:lncRNA from 1 species
UUUUCUCAUGGGUUCUUUGCAUAUCACCCUCCAUCGAUCCUGCAAUUGAUAUUGGCUUCGUCACUCCAUACUGCUUAGGCGGUAACGGCGGCAAAAUCAUUCUCUUCGAACUCAACAUUAAAAACAAUGAAAUACCCCCUACAAAAAAGCCCUAAUUUUUGGAUUCGAACUUUCGAAAAAACCCUAGCUUUGCUCAAAUUCUUCACAACACUUUCUAGUUCAAGGGUAUUUUAGGUCAAGGAUGGCGAUUUGAAGGUUGACGGCGACGGCUGAGGUAGAUCAUUGUUAUAGAGAGAGAGAGAGAGAAGGAAGGAAGAGAGCUUCAGUUCAUAGCAAGAAGCGGCCGUGGAGAAUGUUUUUUCACUUCUUAAAAAUUUUAGAUUUUAGGUUUUCAUGUACACCUUCCAUUAAAACGACAUAGUAUCUAGGUAAUUUAAUUUAAUUUUUAAUAUUAUUUACUUAUU